GAGAGAGAGAGAGAGAAGCCGCGCUUUGGCACGGAUUCAACGACCGACUUUACCAGCGGACCAGCGUCUGCCUGGUGCUCGCAGACUCCGCAAUGUAUGAAAAGAUUCGAGCCGGACGGGACGUUGGUAUAACGUGCUUGACGUAAUUCCCACGGCGAUUCUGCGCCGCGUCAUUUGUCCGCUGUUCGAAGGUACGUAACGCGAUUCUAUGUCGCUUGGGUCCGCCGACGAGGCGGACAGGUACGCCCUUUUCAUCCUCCGAGCAACCUGCGGCGAGCACGUCAACGCGACGUGCUCGUGACCGUCAGCUUGAAUCCGUUCCGUCGCCGUUCCGUAGAAGUAGCGCGCGAGCAUGGCAGAGUGCGCCGGCCAAACGUGGCCGUCGUCGCUUCGAGAUCCACCUUUCCUACCUACCUACCUACCUACCGCGCUUCGACGCACCGUCUUUCUCGCCGAUGCGCCUUCGUCUCUCGCGAUUACUCUCCGUAGCCGUAGAUUAGUCGAGUGUCGGCGUGUCCGUCGCGACGACUGACGUUGUCAAAGUGAACGGAGAUUCUCUAUAUAAUGACGUAUACGAGCAUAAUACCGACCAAUAUUAACGCGAAGCGACAUGCUCGAGUCGCUUAGCAUUUUUCCGAAGAGGCGUCAUUCACGGAUUCACUGCGGUUAUAUAUACCGAAGUAACCUCACGACGAACCUCGGCGCCUCCGUUGGAUUCGCUGUAGUCGAGCCGAAUCAUCAUUAUUCAUCCUCGAAAUUUCCGGCAUCGUUUGGAAAAUUGUUCGUCAACACAAAGAUGCCCGGCACAAAGACCGUGGCAAUCAAUAGCCGCGCGAUACAGUCCGCCCGCAUCGAAAAUCGAUCGAAGAGCGGGCGUACGUGUUGGAGCGGCGCCGACUUUAAUUCUUAACCGAGCGAAAAUCGCGACGUGACAGCGGUGUUCACCGCGAUAUCGAUUCGACUUAUCGAUGUCUGAGCGAUUCGGAACGCCACUUGAGCAGAUAAUGAUGGCAGUCCGUGGGAGUCCAAUUUCAAUCUCUGGAACCUCCGAACCGAGCACAGUGCUACUUAACCAAACUCUACUUUUAAUUACAUUCACCAGGGAGUCCAAUUUUAACCUCCAAACCGAAUAGUGCCUACUUAAACUAAGCUCUGCUCCUAAUUAUAUUAAUCGAACAAUGACGUUGCGGAUUUUGUCUUAUUAAGUGCCUAGAGCCAGGAUUGUAUGAGGUGUGUGUGUGUGUGUGUGUGUGUGUGUGUGAGAGAGAGAGGCGCGUCGAGAUGCGAUAAGCAUAUCUCCCAGUCGCUGAAAUCUUACAAAAUUACCGAACUUCGUCACUGUUAUCGCAGGUGACGCUCGUCGGUCACGGCAUGAUAACGCUUCUCCGCUGCGGAUUUGUCUACUUCUCGCGGGGAUAGAACGUAGACGAGCGACGUCGGGACUGGGCUUCGUGCGGCCUCUCGUGGCGUCGAUGCGUCAUCCUCGUCGGACUCUCGCGCGAUUCUCAGCGCGUUCGGGGAGUGCGCGCGCAGCCGUGCGGCGAGCUUGCGCAGUCGGCGCGCUCAGGCUUGCGUCGGGGGGUGGCUUUCUCACGGGGGUUGCGUUGCGUCGUGCUCCUCCGGCCACCGGGCGGAAAGGUGGGAAUCGCGCAGGGUGUCGAGUGUGUGCAGUGUUGCCUAUCGCGCAGGGAGCACAACACUCGCCGUCUCUCUGACCUCCCCAUUUUUACUGAUGUUUCGUUUGGGAUUUGUGUGUGUUCCUUUAUGAAAACUCGUUAUUGCGGCCGCGCCGGACGAUCAUCUCGCAAAUACACACUUAUGCUCAGACCCGCCUCGCAGCUGUCCGAUAAUGUCUGUCAUCGUCGCGCUCGUUACGUGACCCGCGACACGCGUGUUACGAGAGUCUACGCGGGCACAACAAGCACCAGCGGACGGUCAUCGUGACACCGUGGCGACGAUCGGGGUGACCGAUAAUGGAUCGUAGCGCGAAACUCUAGGCCCCCUCCCUGCCCCCCCCCAAGCCCCUCCAAUACUGUAGCGCGAUCAUCGUGAUCAUCGCACUAUCGUAA